rnacentral:rRNA from 1 species
CAUAUCAAUAAGCGGAGGAAAAGAAACCAACAGGGAUUGCCUCAGUAACGGCGAGUGAAGCGGCAAAAGCUCAAAUUUGAAACCCUCGGGAUUGUAAUUUGAAGAUUUGGCAUUGGAGAAAGCUAACCCAAGUUGCUUGGAAUAGUACGUCAUAGAGGGUGACAACCCCGUCUGGCUAACCGUUCUCCAUGUAUUGCCUUAUCAAAGAGUCGAGUUGUUUGGGAAUGCAGCUCAAAGUGGGUGGUAAACUCCAUCUAAAGCUAAAUACUGGUGAGAGACCGAUAGCGAACAAGUACUGUGAAGGAAAGGUGAAAAGAACUUUGAAAAGAGAGUGAAAUAGUAUGUGAAAUUGUUGAUAGGGAAGGAAAUGAGUGGAGAGUGGCCGAGGUUUCAGCCGCCCCUCGUGGGCGGUGUACUGCCGACGCCGAGUCAUCGAUAGCGAGACGAGGGUUACAAAUGGGAGCGCCUUCGGGCGUUCUCCCCUAACCCUCCACACUGCCACCGACGACAUAAUCCACCCAUUUCACCCGUCUUGAAACACGGACC